UCCCGCAACGAGCGCAACCCUUUUCCUUAUUUGCCAGCGGGUUAAGCCGGGAACUUUAAGGAUACUGCCAGUGACAAACUGGAGGAAGGCGGGGACGACGUCAAGUCAUCAUGGCCCUUACGACCAGGGCUACACACGUGCUACAAUGGUGGGUACAGAGGGUUGCUACACAGCGAUGUGAUGCUAAUCUCAAAAAGCCUAUCGUAGUCCGGAUUGGAGUCUGCAACUCGACUCCAUGAAGUCGGAAUCGCUAGUAAUCGCAGAUCAGAAUGCUGCGGUGAAUACGUUCCCGGGCCUUGUACACACCGCCCGUCACACCAUGGGAGUCUAUUGCACCAGAAGUAGGUAGCCUAACGAAAGAGGGCGCUUACCACGGUGUGGUCGAUGACUG
rnacentral:rRNA from 1 species